UAGUAUUUGUUUUUCCAAAAGAAACUAACAAAUCAAACUCACGCAAAUUUGGAACCCCAAAUCCAAAUUCGCGGCAAGGAAAAUUGUAUCUUCAUCGGUGCCGGCGUUUCUACCGAGAUCGGCGGCCGCCGACAGAAGACAGGCAUCGUCAUCAUCCUCAUCUUCACCAUAUUCUUCUCCCAAAGCCAAUAAGAAAGUCACGGACAAUCGUCUCGCUUCCGUGAUUGAUGCCGUCAAUGACCGCAAACUCCCGCCGGAGCUCCGCGGACAGCGCAACAACGUCAGGUAUAUAUCUAAGCUCCAUACCUCAAGUGACUUGCCACAAGCUGAAAAGAUUGCUCUUUCAAAUUUGUUACUCGAAUGCAAACUCAAAUUUAGUUAUAUCAGAGAGAUUCUAGUUACUCGGGGCUGGAAAGUCCAUCGCUGAAAUAAAGAAAACCUUCAAGGUGCGGUCUGCAGGGUCAAGUAUCCCCCCCCCAAGAAGAUGUCGUCUGUGGACACGACCUCCUCCAGAGACGUCUCUGUGAGCAAUGCCAGUGACAUUGAAUCGGAAUGGAUAGAGGAGGAUGAGCCUGGUGUACACAUCACCAUCAGACAGCUUCUUGAUGGCACUAGAGAGCUUCGCCAUGUCAGAUUCAGCCGUGAAAAAUUUGGAGAGGUGCAUGCCAAGCAUUGGUGGGAAACUAACAGGGACAUGAUACAAACUCAGUAUCUUUGCUAGAACCAAGCUAAGAUAUAGAACGUGGAUCCUUGGUCAUGCAUGCUAUUGUUGCUGCCACUACACUUUCAGAUCUUCUAGGUGAUCAACGAUGAUGAUGAUGUUCGAAGAAGAUUGAUAUGGUCUAGGAUUUGGUGAUAUACAACGAUGCAUUGCUUGGCCGUAUUCCAAUAGAAUGGGAUGAAGAACUAAUUAGGUCGUAUUCGAAUUUAUCUACAAUUGGAGACGCAAUCGGAACAUGCAUUGCUUGGCCUCGCCCCUUGGUGAAAGCUAAUGACGAUUUGGAUUGAUGAGAAGCUGAAUAGCUUUAAAAGUGGAGCCUAGAUGUCCCAUUCUAAAAUAGUUGGUACCAAAGAGAACCUAUUCCAAAACACUUGAUAUAAUACACACUAUGUAAUAAGCUUCUUUACUCAUGAUUGAGAUCCUUUACCAGAAUAUUCCUUGGUGAUGUUUGAAAUUUCAAAUUUGAUAAAGUAUUGUUAUAUUGGGAUUGAUCUCA